GGCGCUCGGACAUCGACCCCAGGUCAGGCG
rnacentral:rRNA from 1 species